AGCCACAUCACAUUCAAAUACUGGUUCCUAUAUGACCACUGAAGUUAAGCAAUGUCUAGCCUGGUCAGUAUCUUGAUGGGUGACCUCUUGGGAAUACCAGAUGCUAUA